UGGCCGCGGGCUGGCGGGGUCUGCGCCGCCUGGACACGGCGAGAGCUGCCUCCGCCCCCGGAUGGGCUGGGGAGGGUGGGCGGAGCCAUCUGGAGCCCGCGCGGGUCGUGCCCGCAGCCCGCCUCAGCACCGGCAGUCCCCGGCCGCAGAGCGAGACGCUCCCCCGGAGCUGCGGCUGCCAGGUCUGGGGUCCCGAGGCCCCUGGCAGACUAUGGGUACAACAGCAAGCACAGCACAGCAGACAGUCUCGGCUGGCACUUCCUUGGAGGGCCUGCAGGGCAGCAGCAACAGCAUGGAUGGCCAGCAUUCUCUCAGCGUGCAGUCCUUCCAUGCCACAAGUUUACACAACAGCAAGGCCAAGUCCAUCAUCCCUAACAAGGUGGCCCCUGUUGUGAUCACGUACAACUGCAAGGAGGAGUUCCAGAUCCACGAUGAGCUGCUCAAGGCCCAUUACAGGAUGGGCCGGCUCUCAGAUGCCACUCCCGAGCACUACCUGGUGCAGGGUCGUUAUUUCCUGGUGCGUGACGUCACCAAGAAGAUGGACACACUGGGCACCUUGGAGAGCUGUGGGGCUCACAACUUCCGGCAGGUGCGAGGCGGGCUUCCUGUGUUUGGCAUGGGACAGCCCAGCCUCUUGGGGUUCAGGAGAGUCCUGCAGAAACUCCAGAAGGAUGGGUUCAAGGAAUGCAUCAUCUUCUGUUUGCGGGAAGAGCCUGUGCUGUUCUUGCGUGCUGAAGAGGACUUUGUGUCCUACACACCUCGAGACAAGGAGAGCCUUCAUGAGAACCUCAGGGACCCUGGGCCAGGAGUGAAGGCUGAACAUCUGGAGCUGGCCAUCCGGAAAGAGAUCCAUGACUUUGCCCAACUGAGAGAGAACGUGUACCACGUGUACCACAACACGGAGGACCUGCGCGGGGAGCCGCACACCGUGGCCAUCCGAGGUGAGGAUGAUGUGCACGUGACCGAGGAGGUGUUUAAGCGGCCGCUGUUCCUGCAGCCCACCUACAGAUUCUACCGUCUCCCCUUGCCAGAGCAAGGGGCACCCCCGGAAGCCCAGUUUGAUGCCUUUGUCAGCGUUCUUCGGGAGACCCCCAGCCUUCUGCCGCUCAGAGAUAACCACGGGCCUCCCCCUGCCCUCUUGUUCAGCUGCCAGUCAGGUGUGGGUAGGACCAACCUGGGCAUGGUCCUGGGUACCCUCGUGAUGUUCCACCACAGUAGAACCACCCCCCAGCUAGAGACUGCCUCCCUGCUGACCAAACCCCUGCCCGUGGAGCAGUUUCAGGUGGUCCAGGGAUUCAUCUGCAAGGUGCCCCAGGGGAAGAAAAUGGUGGAGGAGGUGGAUCGAGCCAUCAGUGCCUGUGCAGAGUUGCAUGACCUGAAGGAAGAGGUUCUUAAGAACCAGAGGAAGCUGGAGGGCUUCAGGCCAGAGAGCCGGGAGCAGGAGUGUGGCAGUCAGCAUGCUGUCCAGCAGAGGGCGCUGUGGAGUCUGGAGCUGUACUUCUAUCUGAUCCUAUUUAACUACUAUCUGCAUGAACAGCACCCCCUGGCCUUUGCCCUCAGUUUCAGUCGAUGGCUGUGCACCCAUCCUGAGCUGUAUCGUCUGCUGGUGGCGCUGAAUUCAGUGGGGCCCUUGGUUCCCGGGGACCUCAUCGCCAAGGGCUCCCUGGAAGCAGAUGACCUGGUUUCCCUGGAUGCUCUCAGCACCAUCAGAGAGAUGGACGUAGCCAACUUCCGGCGUGUACCACGCAUGCCUAUUUAUGGCACCGCCCAGCCCAGUGCCAAGGCCCUAGGCAACAUCCUGGCCUACCUGUCUGACGCCAAGAGGAAGCUGCGCCAGGUGGUCUGGAUCAACCUGAGGGAGGAGGUUGUGUUGGAGUGUGAUGGUCACAUGCACAGCCUGUGGCCCCCGGGACCCGCGCUGGCCCCCGAGCAGCUGGAGGCUCUGGAGGCCCAGCUGAAGGCCCACCUGAGCGUCCCUGUCCUCAUCACCAAGAGCCCUGCCACCCCCAGGUUCCAGAAGUGCCUGACCACACAGGAGGUCUUCAGCCAGCACCAGGGGGCCAGCCUUGGCCUUACCUACUGCCGCAUUCCCGUGCCGGACUUCUGCGCCCCUCGGGAGGAGGACUUUGAGCGGCUGCUUGAGGCCAUGCGAGCUGCUCUCUCCAAGGACCCAGGCACAGGCUUUGUCUUCAGCUGCCUCAACGGCCAGGGCCGGACCACAACGGCCAUGGUGGUGGCCGUGCUGGCCUGCUGGCACAUUGGGGGCUGUCCCGAGGUGGGUGAGGAGGAGCUAGUGAGUGUGCCGGAUGCCAAAUUCACCAAGGGCGAGUUUCAGGUGGUGAUGAAGGUGGUACAGCUGCUCCCCGAUGGCCACCACGUGAAGAAGGAGGUGGAUGCGGCGCUGGACACCGUCAGCGAGACCAUGACACCAAUGCACUACCACCUUCGGGAGAUCAUCAUCUCCACCUACCGACAGGCAAAGGCCACCAAAGAGACACAGGAGGCUCAGAGGUUGCACCUGCGGAGCCUGCAAUACCUGGAGCGCUACAUCUACCUGAUCCUCUUUAACGCCUACCUUCGCCUGGAGAAGGCCAGCUCCUGGCAGAGGCCUUUCAGCACCUGGAUGCAGGAGGUGGCAACCAGAGCUGGCAUCUACGAGAUCCUCAACCAGCUGGGCUUCCCCGAGCUGGAGAACAUGGACGACCAGCCCCUGUCACGGCUCCGCUACCGCUGGCAGGAGCAAAGUCGAGACCCGGAGCCCUGCGACCUUGGGGACUUCCUGUAGGCCCCCUUGCUCUUGCUAGGCAGGCUGGGGAGGGGGGACCUGAGGGUCUCAUUGCUUCUGAUGGACACUUGUCAGCUUCCUGGUUAGACUUGAGGGGCUGAGAACUUUCGGAAAGAGGGGUUUUUUUUGGUAAUCCUACCAAUAUAUACAUUGAAUAUAUGGACAGCACUGCCAUUUUCUGUCAACCCUUGGGGUGCGUAAUGUCUUCUGGUAAGGCCCAGUGCGUGUGCCUCACAGACCAGCUGGCAAACAACCUUCAGGGAGCUCACUCCCCAAGCAGCCAGUCACCACCUCUGUCCCCCCUUCACCGUUGGUCAUCAGACUGCCUGGGCGGGCAGCAGGCUGGCCAUGUUUGCCUUUUCACUUCCUUCCUCUGACUGGCUUGCUCCUGCCUCUGCCUCUGCCUUUCAGCCCAAGCAGCUACCUGAGGAGGAUGGCGAGCCAGGCAGGUCUGUGUUGAGGCAGCUCUGCCCAGCUCCUUCUGGCUCUCAGUGUCGCAGGCCUGGAAGACUGAGGGGAUGACUCCCCUUUUCUCCUACCCGUCUUUCCCCAGUUCCUCCCCUAAGCUGUCAGAUGAGCCCAGGGAGUUGGAAACAUCAGGGAGGCCCUCCCAGUGUGGGGAAAGAACUCACAGAGGCCAUGGAGAUGGUGAAGAGCCUCUUGGUGGGUUGGAAGCCUGUUAACAGGAUCGAGGUGACUCUUGGGAGAGACUCUGUGGACACAGGACCUGGUGGCUUGUCAGGCCUUAGAAUCCAGGCCGACCCCUGCCAGGAUCCCUGGGCUGCUUUCGCUGGGUCACACUGAGAUGACACUGAGGGACGAACUUUGUUCACAUAGUGGGAAGAGGGGCAGAGAGGGCUGUGCUUGGUGAGUCUCAGCUGGGACUGAAGUUUGCCACAACUAGUGGUUGAACUCCUGAGUCUGGGCGCCUGGCUACCUGUCUUAACUUCUUGAAGGAGAGUGAUGAAUCUCUGGGUGCCCGUCCUUCAUGGAGGAUGUCAGCUGUUAGCUGUGCUAUUUGAAGAUGUCAAAGUUGUUUCCAGCCUGAUGAAGUGGAGACCCUCUUAGCUGAAUUCUUUUGCAAGCUGCUGUAUGUCUGUCCACAGCCUCUCAGGUUUGCUGGUGUCUGUUUUGUGCAAGUCAGCUCUGUUCAGAAAAAGCCUACCCAAGGAGUCGGAGGCCAGAGAGACCCUUCACAGUUUUGUGGUUGACACUGACUUGGAGAUAUGCUGGGACCAGUGGCAGGUCACUGUACCCCUCUGCCUCAGUUUCCCUGUUUGUAAAAUUGGAGAAUAAUACUUGCCUACCUACCUCACAGGGGUGUUGUGAGGAAUCCUUUAUGGUUUUCUGUUUUUGUUUUUUGUUUUUGUACAGAGCUUUUGAGCAUUAAAAACAGUACAAACGUGUAA